CUAGAUCCACUUGUCCUGAAACAUAUCUCAAUAAGAAAAAUAACUAACUUGUGGUGUACACAUGAUUUUAUCAGAUCAAGCAAUUCAGGUGGUAAGCAUAGUUGUUAAGCCAAAGUCCCAAAAUUGUACAUGAUUGAAUGUUGCUGUAUAGGCUAACCAGGACUUACAUAAAUCUACCCGGCGUAAAAUGAACCUUCAUCAAGCGCUAGAGAGGGAGAUAUCACCCCUACGCCGCAACCACGGCUCGUCAAGAUCAGACAUAACUAUAGAAGAAUAGGGCAACAACACAGAGUAAGUUUCCUCUGCACUUAUAUUUUUAAUAUACAACACUCACGAUGGAGUCUCCAAAUCGCAAUAAUGGAGCGUUACAGAUUUUGUUAGAUCUAACUUGAACAGUGGCGGCGACUCGUGGAUCCCUUCCAAACAGCAGGAAAUCAAAGAUCUCGGACCUGACAAGGUAUGAAUCCUGAUGAUGUAGCCCCAAAAUAGCCAGGUCUUACUUAAUCGUAAUGGAAGAAACUGGAAGAAGCUAAUUAUGGUGGCCCGUGCAUUGCAACGGGGUAUCAAAAUUACGGCCUUUAAAUCGAGCAAUUCAGAACAUGAUAACUACAAUGAUUAUUAAUAAUGUACAUCCCAUCUUGUUAAUUGAAAUCAAAUAAAACUGAUCGCAGAUUGCUCUUCAGAAUUAGAUGCAAAACCCAACAUUCAUGUUUACAUAAGAAUAGUGCAGAAAUGCGGAUUAAUAAUUCCCCUAUACAUAUCAUGUCAUGCUAAAUAACUGUAUACAUAUGCAGAUAUUGACCUACGAAUUUCACCAACAAAUCAUGAUAUAGUCUUACAUUUAACAAAAUGGUAAAAAAUAGAAUCAAUCAUAGCUAAUAGCAAUAUAAUAAAUUCUUGUGAAUGAUAGUUUGGCUAUACAUGGAAACCUAAGAUCAGAUUAACUCGUGACGGAAGAAGGCGUUGUAGCAACAUAAUAAUUAAAAUCCAUCGGAAGAAUAUUUCUGAAAUUACACACUAUGCACAAGCAUAUGGAAAAAGGAUCACUAAACAUCAUGAUCUAGUAAAAGUACAUGAGAGAAAAAACUGAAAAAAUAACAGUCAAUUAUUUUAUAGAACUUCCCUUUGUUCUUCAAACAAAUGGUAACAAUCAUGAUGCCAUAUUAGAGCUUAUUCAGGACAUCUUUUUUUACUAAAGGGAGUAGUAUGUUUCAGCAAAAGUGUCAAACUAUGUCUACACAUUUUACAUACAAUUAUCUCUGUCAUCUGGACCUACACUGCUCUGCACCUCAUUAAAAUCCUAUCCAUCAAAAUUUAUGCCAUUAACAAAAUCUAGGACUUGGGUGUUAACGGCUAAAAAGCAGUUUCGCUAAGUCCUCAGUGGUGUUGCACCAAUAAUAUGGUGGAGUGCUUGAAUCCGUCAUCAGCGUCAACUAUCAAAGUUAGACACUGGUCACCAGUCAUGCACUGCCUCCCAUUCAGAACAUAGUGAGGAUAAGCAGGCCAGACACGAAGUCUGCGGCAGUGGCCAUGAGGGCGACGAUCGGGUGCCCAUGGUGCAGCGCCGAGCUACAGAACACUCCCACGACCUUGCCGCAUCCAGCGGAGAGGGAGCACCGGUAGCAGCUUGUAGGGAUAGACGUGCUCGUGGCCGGGGAUCACCCGGGAAAGCGUUGGUUGGAGGUGCCUCCCGCUUCAGUUGCUUAUAGGAAGGAAUGUACAUGACAAACUUGCUACCGCUGAAGAAUCAUAUGAAUCAACCUAUGUGUUUUCAAGACGUAUGAAACACACGAAAAGACUGAGCCUUCACGUGAAGUUUGCAGGUUUGCAUCAACAAUAGAGAAGUAAGAGGAAUUAGAUUAAUAAGAGUACUAAACAGGGUGGCGGCCGCCAAGGAGCGAAUUGAUCAUCUCACCUUGACGCAAUAGCUUGGUCCAAGUUGGUGGCACUUCUGUAGGUAGUAUUGACCGCGCCACCAAUGCCAAUCCCGUGAAAGCCAGCCUGAAUGAAAGGCACAAGAGGAAACCAGAGACACUAAAUAAGAACAGUCGUCCAUCUAAUGAAGACCUGACCAAACAAAAUCGAAUCUCUGUGUCAGCUUUCUUACCAUGUCACGUCUGCCAGCCCAGAAGGGGAUUAACUUUCACCUGCGGUGGCAUGGCCCUGAACCGAUAGUAAGGAGAACUGAACGGGAGAGUGCCUCCCAGGAUCUUCGCAUCCCCAAGAACGGAUCUUCGUUUCCGUAAGCAGGAGCUCUGUGCUGGUGCCAAUCCAGUGCCACCGGACCGGUGAACCAACCACCACCGCACCUCCCUCUUCCUUUCUCCUCCCCCCUUGUUAAUGUACAUCCCACCUUGUUAAUUGAAAUCAAAUAAAACUGAUCGCAGAUUGCUCUUCAGAAUUAGAUGCAAAACCCAACAUUCAUGUUUACAUAAGAAUAGUGCAGAAAUGCGGAUUAAUAAUUCCCCUAUACAUAUCAUGUCAUGCUAAAUAACUGUAUACAUAUGCAGAUAUUGACUUACGAAAUUCACCAACAAAUCAUGAUAUAGUCUUACAUUUAACAAAAUGGUAAAAAAAUAGCAUCAAUCAUAGCCAAUAGCAAUAUAAUAAAUUCUUGUGAAUGAUAGUUUGGCUAUACAUGGAAACCUAAGAUCAGAUUAACUCGUGACGGAAGAAGGCGUUGUAGCAACAUAAUAAUUAAAAUCCAUCGGAAGAAUAUUUCUGAAAUUACACACUAUGCACAAGCAUAUGUAAAAAGGAUCACUAAACAUCAUGAUCUAGUAAAAGUACAUGAGAGAAAAAAACUGAAAAAAUAACAGUCAAUUAUUUUAUAGAACUUCCCUUUGUUCUUCGGAACAAAUGGUAACAAUCAUGAUGCCAUAUUAGAGCUUAUUCAGGACAUCUUUUUUUACUAAAGGGAGUAGUAUGUUUCUGUUUCAGCAAAAGUGUCAAACUACGUCUACACAUUUUACGUACAAUUAUCUCUGUCAUCUGGACCUACACUGCUAUGCACCUCAUUAAAAUCCUAUCCAUCAAAAUUUAUGCCAUUAACAAAAUCUAGGACUUGGGUGUCAAUGGCUAAAAAGCAGUUUCGCUAAGUCCUCAGUGGUGUUGCACCAAGAAUAUGGUGGAGUGCUUGAAUCCGUCAUCAGCGUCAACUAUCAAAGUUAGACACUGGUCACCAGUCAUGCACUGCCUCCCAUUCAGAACAUAGUGAGGAUAAGCAGGCCAGACACGAAGUCUGCGGCAGUGGCCAUGAGGGCGACGAUCGGGUGCCCAUGGUGCAGCGCCGAGCUACAGAACACUCCCACGACCUUGCCGCAUCCAGCGGAGAGGGAGCACCGGUAGCAGCUUGUAGGGAUAGACGUGCUCGUGGCCGGGGAUCACCCGGGAAAGCGUUGGUUGGAGGUGCCUGCCGCUUCAGUUGCUUAUAGGAAGGAAUGUACAUGACAAACUUGCUACCGCUGAAGAAUCAUAUGAAUCAACCUAUGUGUUUUCAAGACGUAUGAAACACACGAAAAGACUGAGCCUUCACGUGAAGUUUGCAGGUUUGCAUCAACAAGAGAGAAAUAAGAGGAAUUAGAUUAAUAAGAGUACUAAACAGGGUGGCGGCCGCCAAGGAGCGAAUUGAUCAUCUCACCUUGACGCAAUAGCUUGGUGCAAGUUGGUGGCACUUCUGUAGGUAGUAUUGACUGCGCCACCAAUGCCAAUCCCGUGAAAGCCAGCCUGAAUGAAAGGCACAAGAGGAAACCAGAGACACUAAAUAAGAACAGUCGUCCAUCUAAUGAAGACCUGACCAAACAAAAUCGAAUCUCUGUGUCAGCUUUCUUANNNNNNNNNNNNNNNNNNNNNNNNNNNNNNNNNNNNNNNNNNNNNNNNNNNNNNNNNNNNNNNNNNNNNNNNNNNNNNNNNNNNNNNNNNNNNNNNNNNNCAUGUCACGCCUGCCGGCCCAGAAGGGGAUUAACUUUCACCUGCUGUGGCAUGGCCCUGAACCGAUAGCAAGGAGAACUGAACGGGAGAGUGCCUCCCUGGAUCUUCGCAUCCCCAAGAACGGAUCGUCGUUUCCGUAAGCAGGAGCUCUGUGCUGGUGCCAAUCCAGUGCCACCGGACCGGUGAACCAACCACCACCGCACCUCCCUCUUCCUUUCUCCUCCCCCCCUUGUUAAUGUACAUCCCACCUUGUUAAUCGAAAUCAAAUAAAACUGAUCGCAGAUUGCUCUUCAGAAUUAGAUGCAAAGCCCAGCAUUCAUGUUUACAUAAGAAUAGUGCAGAAAUGCGGAUUAAUAAUUCCCCUAUACAUAUCAUGUCAUGCUAAAUAACUGUAUACAUAUGCAGAUAUUGACUUACGAAAUUCACCAACAAAUCAUGAUAUAGUCUUACAUUUAACAAAAUGGUAAAAGAUAGCAUCAAUCAUAGCUAAUAGCAAUAUAAUAAAUUCUUGUGAAUGAUAGUUUGGCUAUACAUGGAAACCUAAGAUCAGAUUAACUCGUGACGGAAGAAGGCGUUGUAGCAACAUAAUAAUUAAAAUCCAUCGGAAGAAUAUUUCUGAAAUUACACACUAUGCACAAGCAUAUGGAAAAAGGAUCACUAAACAUCAUGAUCUAGUAAAAGUACAUGAGAGAAAAAACUGAAAAAAUAACAGUCAAUUAUUUUAUAGAACUUCCCUUUGUUCUUCAAAACAAAUGGUAACAAUCAUGAUGCCAUAUUAGAGCUUAUUCAGGACAUCUUUUUUUACUAAAGGGAGUAGUAUGUUUCAGCAAAAGUGUCAAACUAUGUCUACACAUUUUACAUACAAUUAUCUCUGUCAUCUGGACCUACACUGCUCUGCACCUCAUUAAAAUCCUAUCCAUCAAAAUUUAUGCCAUUAACAAAAUCUAGGACUUGGGUGUUAAUGGCUAAAAAGCAGUUUCGCUAAGUCCUCAGUGGUGUUGCACCAAGAAUAUGGUGGAGUGCUUGAAUCCGUCAUCAGCGUCAACUAUCAAAGUUAGACACUGGUCACCAGUCAUGCACUGCCUCCCAUUCACAACAUAGUGAGGAUAAGCAGGCCAGACACGAAGUCUGCGGCAGUGGCCAUGAGGGCGAUGAUCGGGUGCCCAUGGUGCAGCGCCGAGCUACAGAACACUCCCACGACCUUGCCGCAUCCAGCGGAGAGGGAGCACCGGUAGCAGCUUGUAGGGAUAGACGUGCUCGUGGCCAGGGAUCACCCGGGAAAGCGUUGGUUGGAGGUUCCUGCCGCUUCAGUUGCUUAUAGGAAGGAAUGUACAUGACAAACUUGCUACCGCUGAAGAAUCAUAUGAAUCAACCUAUGUGUUUUCAAGACGUAUGAAACACACGAAAAGACUGAGCCUUCACAUGAAGUUUGCAGGUUUGCAUCAACAAGAGAGAAAUAAGAGGAAUUAGAUUAAUAAGAGUACUAAACAGGGUGGCGGCCGCCAAGGAGCGAAUUGAUCAUCUCACCUUGACGCAAUAGCUUGGUGCAGAUUGGUGGCACUUCUGUAGGUAGUAUUGACUGCGCCACCAAUGCCAAUCCCGUGAAAGCCAGCCUGAAUGAAAGGCACAAGAGGAAACCAGAGACACUAAAUAAGAACAAUCAUCCAUCUAAUGAAGACCUGACCAAAAAAAAUCGAAUCUCUGUGUCAGCUUUCUUACCAUGUCACGUCUGCCGGCCCAGAAGGGGAUUAACUUUCACCUGCGGUGGCAUGGCCCUGAACCGAUAGUAAGGAGAACUGAACGGGAGAGUGCCUCCCUGGAUCUUCGCAUCCCCAAGAACAGAUCUUCGUUUCCGUAAGCAGGAGCUCUGUGCUGGUGCCAAUCCAGUGCCACCGGACCGGUGAACCAACCACCACCGCACCUCCCUCUUCCUUUCUCCUCCCCCCCAUGCUCUCUCUUCAUCUCUCUCAACUCACUCUACUCUCUCAGGAAGCAAGCUCGCCACCCAGGAGUUCAAGCCGCCGCCGCCGGUCGGCCCGUCCUUGACCGGAUCUGGAGUGCGUCGGGGACUUGCGGUGAGGAUCUCCAGAAGAAGAACGCCCAGGGAGUAGACGCCACCUGCAGGGCGCGGUAUCUGCCGGCGAGCGCGCGGACGGAUGGCGGUGCGUGGGUGGUGUGCAGGUAGAAGUCAGACAGCGCGGCGCCGCCACUCACCUUCUCCUCCGCCGCGCUGGAUUGAAUACACUGGAGGGGAAGGAGCACUGCGCAUUGAAUAUUCAG
rnacentral:lncRNA from 1 species